rnacentral:tRNA from 1 species
AAUAAGAAGCAAAAAAUUGCAUUUAGUUUCGACCUAAAAAUUUGAUGAAAUAAACAUCCUUAUUU